GCUUUUCGUCGAUCAUUGGUUUGUUCGUUCACCGAACAGGCAGCGCCUCAAACGUCAAUUAUACGCAAAAGUUCGUCGACCCGAUAUUGCCGAUCGUACAGAAACAUCUACCUACCUUAACCUAACGAAACAAAUUGUCAGUAGUUUCCCUUGUGGGGAAAAGAUCAGUUAGAAACAAUUAAGUCGGUCUGUGCAGCAGCUUAAAUCAGAAACGACACUAAUACGUCUUCCGGGAACACCGAAAGGAGAUCCACGCACCGAUCCCUGCUGUUUCUCUCUCCCGGCUCGUUCUUCUUAUCCCUCGUAAUAAUAAUUACCAACACACCGCGGUGCAGGCACGCCGAGAAACCAACGGCAGCAGCAACACGGAACGAACAGCUAUCUAAAAGCUGUUGUACAUCGAUAAUGGUUCGAUGAUAGCAACGAACGUGUUAAGAGGAAAGAAGACUUGGAUGGUGAGAGUCAAGAUUUUGUAGCUUUUCUACAACGCACGUGAAG
rnacentral:misc_RNA from 1 species